rnacentral:tRNA from 1 species
GGUCGCGUGGCCUAAUGGUUAAGGCGCUAGAUUUCGGUUAACCGAUAUCACCGUGCUCUCUAGAGAUUCCAGGUUCGACUCCUGGCGUGAUCG